rnacentral:rRNA from 1 species
UACGGAGGAUCCGAGCGUUAUCCGGAUUUAUUGGGUUUAAAGGGAGCGUAGGUGGAUUGUUAAGUCAGUUGUGAAAGUUUGCGGCUCAACCGUUAAAUUGCAGUUGAAACUGGCAGUCUUGAGUACAGUAGAGGUGGGCGGAAUUCGUGGUGUAGCGGUGAAAUGCUUAGAUAUCACGAAGAACUCCGAUUGCGAAGGCAGCUCACUGGACUGCAACUGACACUGAGGCUCGAAAGUGUGGGUAUCAAACAGG